AUAGCGUAUAUUAAAGUUGUUGCAGUUAAAAAGCUCGUAGUUGAACUUCAGAGCUGGUUGGGCGGUCCGCCUCACGGCGUGUACUGUCCGGCCGGUUCUUACCUCUUGGUGAGCCGGCAUGCCCUUCAUUGGGUGUGUCGGGGAACCAGGACUUUUACCUUGAGAAAAUUAGAGUGUUCAAAGCAGGCCUACGCCCGAAUACAUUAGCAUGGCAUAAUAAAAUAGGACGUGCGGUUCUAUUUUGUUGGUUUCUAGAGUCGCCGUAAUGAUUAAUAGGGAUGGUUGGGGGCAUUCGUAUUCCGUUGCUAGAGGUGAAAUUCUUGGAUUUACGGAAGACGAACUUCUG
rnacentral:rRNA from 1 species